rnacentral:lncRNA from 1 species
AAAACAUAUCAUGCUUUUCAUAAAUCUUUUCUCAUCGGUACAUUGGAAAGUGAGUAAUGGCAUCAUGCUGAAUAAAAUUCAUGAUCAUGCUGAAAACUUUAUUUUUCUUUCCAUGCAUCUUUCUACCUCAUCAUAAUAAUGUAUAAAUAAUAUAAUAAUCAUUAUGGAUGCUAUUUAUCCAAAAUCAUGCAAUUAUUUGCUAACACAUGUUGGAUCCUAAUUUUGUGAAAAUAUAAAUAAUCAUAUACAAUUUCAUAAUCAAAUAGUCACAAGUAUUUGAUAAAACAUAAGAUUAUAUCCGGGUUACUUAUAUUUUCCACAAUUCAUAUACACAAUUCCAAUUCUAUAAAUAAUACUUUUUCACCAUAUAAAACGUGAUACAUGAUCCAUAAUAAGAUUAAGACAUGUUACUUACCUUAAUUUGCCCAUCAAAUGCCAAUUCUUCAAUACCUAGCAAGAUCAUUAAAUUACAUGUCACUGACAUAUUUAAUUUCUAUUUAUUUAUAAUCUUAAAGUCAUUUACAACCCAUCCAUAGGACUCAAUUUCAUUUUCGGGUCCAUAGCCCAAUUUAAUUUCUGGUUCAGGCCCAUGGCCC